CCCUGCUUGAGAGCUGCAGGAUACACUAAGAUUCAAACUGCCUCUGUGUUUGUUUCUGUUUGCCACCACCGAAUCCUUACCCACCGAGCUUCGAGGACCCUCAUUCCAGGGACCCACAUAACCGACUUGGGUGGUCCGUGGCAGCUGGCGCCCGAAUGUGGAACUCGAAGCAGGUCCCGGUUCAAGCCUUCUCAUCAUGGGUACAGAGACCUCCUUUCAGAAAAUCCAGAAAUGGAAUCCUUUGCAGAAGAGGCACCCUCCUCUGACGACACAAACGAAGUCAUAUAAUACUUCCUCACCUACCGCUAAUCUCCUGAAGGUACAGCCAGGAGAUGACUGGAAUGCAGAGACCCCAAUCUUGAUCCCAGACAGACUUAUUGGACCCUUCCGCCAGAAAACCUCUAUCAAGAACCCAGAAGGAAAAGAAGGCAAAAGAAGUCAUGAAGAGAAUGAAGAGGCUUGAUCUCCCUUCUCCACAGGUGGCUUCGGCUCCUCCUGCACUGUCAUCGACCACAGGGAGAGAUCCACCCACUUGGGGACAACUGGAGAAACUCACCCAGAGAGCACAACAAAUAAUCUCUGAUAUCGGGAAACCACCAUCAGUAGAAAAUAUGCUAUGCUUGCUGUGGUUGCCAUGCAGGUAUGCUGUGCCUCUGCAACCUCGUCUUGAGCCUAUGUUCCCCAUCCUUCACUUCUUCAUCCCAUGGGUUGGGGAGAUAAUGUGCAUCUCAGAGUCAUGACUCUGAGCUGCUAGGGGGACACGCUGACUUCCCCCCCCCCAUUUGACUUCCUCUGUAAUUAAAUAUGAGGGAAUGUCAGACUCUGCCCCAAUCUGUGUUACUUUAAAGGGGAUACCCCCCAUGGGCUGCCUUCCCAAUAGUUAUAGAACUUUUCUUUCUGAAGCUCCAGAUAGACCCUGGCACCCCCCCCAAUCGUAAAAGAUUAAUGUGGGAGCUUUCAAUAAUGAUUUUGUGUUAUUAUAACUAUAAUGAAACCUCUAUAAGGCCAAA